rnacentral:tRNA from 1 species
UAGCUUAGUUGGUAGUGCGUCUGCCUUGUAAGCUCUAGGCCGCGGGUUCGAUUCCCGC